GUGUCCUCGCUUUUCGCUUCAUCGUUUCCAAAAUACAAAGCUUUCCAUUUCACUCAAGAAUUGAAGUGGGGAAGAUUCAACACCGUUUUCCACAGUAGCAGCCAAGUUUGAAAAUAAUUUCCUAUGGCAGCGAAUGUGACUCCGUUUAAAGCAUUCAAGUGACGGCCAAGUUUGAAAAUAAUUUCCAGUGGCAGCGAAUGUGACUCCGUUUAAAGCGUACAAGAGGCCAGUAUUGGGCCGCCAUGUCUGUGGUUAUCUUUGGUCCACCAAAAUGGCGGUUGGAAAAGAGUCA